GACGUAGGGCGCGAGCGUUGUCCGGAAUUAUUGGGCGUAAAGAGCUCGUAGGCGGUCUGUCGCGUCUGCUGUGAAAUCCCGAGGCUCAACCUCGGGCCUGCAGUGGGUACGGGCAGACUAGAGUGCGGUAGGGGAGAUUGGAAUUCCUGGUGUAGCGGUGGAAUGCGCAGAUAUCAGGAGGAACACCGAUGGCGAAGGCAGAUCUCUGGGCCGUAACUGACGCUGAGGAGCGAAAAGCGUGGGGAGCAAACAGG
rnacentral:rRNA from 1 species